AAAUGUAGGAAUACUCAGAGGACAGUAAUUCUGAACCUAAUGUGGAUCUGGAGAAUCAAUACUACAAUUCCAAAGCUUUGAAGGAAGAUGAUCCAAAAGCAGCACUAAGCAGUUUUCAGAAGGUUUUGGAGCUCGAAGGUGAAAAAGGAGAAUGGGGGUUCAAAGCUCUGAAACAGAUGAUUAAAAUAAACUUUAAAUUGGUAGGAAUUACUUGCUUGAAUAAAUAGCAUAAAUACAAAUUUGA